AAGUGGAACUAUUGCGGGAUUGGCAACGAUUCAACAGUUCGAGAGCUACGCACGCUAGUGCAACGAUUUGCCCCCUUCGUGCUCUGUGUGCAAGAAACUCGAGUUGGAGGGACUCAUGCUAGGAAUCUAGCCUUUUCUUUUAGCUUUAGUAGAAGCUAUACAGUGGGUAGUAAUGGUAGAAGUGGAGGUCUUGCUAUGUACUGGGAUGAUGAUUUGUCCCUUGAGUUGAUACACUAUUCCCAAUAUCACAGAGAUACGAUAGUACGGAGGAAUGGAGAGGAACCGUGGAGACUCAGUAAUAUCUACGGUGAAGCCACCGUGAGCGAAAGGCGGAAGACAUGGGACUUGUUGCACUGA
rnacentral:rRNA from 1 species